UGGACUAUCGUGUCGAGCAUCAGGCGCCC
rnacentral:sRNA from 1 species